UAUAUCUCUUUCAAGAUUUGUGUGGUGUCAAUAAUUUCUAUCUAUCAUUCCACUAGUAAUAAGCUUCUUUUCUUCUCUUUCUCCCUAGCCAAAGAGUUGCUACAGCGAACAAAAAAACUUGGGACAUUUCUACAACAAUCAAGAGUCAUAACAAAAAUGUGCAAAAUCUAAGUCGCAUAUGGGGAUAUAAAAUUUAAUGAGAAGUUAUUUUUGUCAAACAAUAAUACAUCAAGUUGGCCGCCCAUGUAUGUAAGCUGCGGACAAAUGCAUAGAAACCACAAAGAUGUGAUAAGAACAAAAGAUCAUUUUGUAAAAGACAUCUCUUCUUGCAAGUUUUAUUAUUGCCUUGCAAAGCAUUUUUAGUAAACCCAGCAGACAGCUCGUGCCCUGAGAGAAAAUCAUGGAGUGGGAAAUAUACAAGGUUCCCUAUGGCCCUCUUCUAGUCAGCGAUUUCGCUAAAGGGCAAUAAUACAUUAGCUAAUAAUAUCAGCAAGGAACCGUGUACAUGAGCUGACAAUAUCGGUAAGAAGACUAGCACAGUGGCUUCGACCAUCCACUAAAUUAAUCGAGAAAAGUUAAGGGAAAAGAUAAAGAAUUUUACUUUAGUACUUAAGAGUUUUUCUAUCUUUCUCUCUUACGAUCAUAUCCUAUAAAUAUGAGACAUAGAUUGGAUUUAAGGGAGUUUUUCACCCUAUUGGUUCCUUCACACUUAUUCAUUUCACUAUGGUUUUCUUAUUACCUAUGUAUUUAGAUGCCACCACCUUAUCGAGCAACAAAUGGGUAUAGGAAAGAGUAUAUUGCAGCAUCUUUCGUGAA